ensembl:lncRNA
CUGGGCACUCCCUACCCCACACUCACCCCACUUCCUGUCUCACACACCCUACCCAGCCUUCUCCAGGAACAUCCAGUACAGGGCUGCAGGACCUGUCUGUCUGGUUAUGUGGACAAACAAAGUCAGUCAGUGGUCUACUCACAGAGACAUACUGUAUCUACAGUAGAUAGACGGAUGGGGAGAGACCGUGACUGAGACCAAGACAGAAACCAAGACAGAAACCGAGACCAAGACAGAGGCCAAGACAGAGACCGAGACAUAGACCCAGAUCGAGACCAAGACAGAGAUCAAGACAGAGACAGAGACCAAGACAGAGACAGAGACCAAGACAGAGACCAAGACAGAAACCAAGACAGAGACAGAGACCAAGACCAAGACCAAGACAGAGACCCAGACCGAGACCAAGACAGAGACCAAGACAGAGACCCAGACCGAGACCCAGACCGAGACCAAGACAUAGACCGAGACCAAGACCAAGACAGAGACCGAGACAGAGACCAAGACAGAGACCGAGACAGAGACCAAGACAGAGACUGAGACAGAGACCAAGACAGAGACCAAGACAGAGAAAUAUUCCAAGAAAGGGAGACGUACCAUAUCUUCCUAUCUGUCUAUCUCCU